rnacentral:rRNA from 1 species
UACCAGCACCCCGAGUGGUCGGGACGAUUAUUGGGCCUAAAGCAUCCGUAGCCGGUUCUACAAGUCUUCCGUUAAAUCCACCUGCUUAACAGAUGGGCUGCGGAGGAUACUAUGGAGCUAGGAGGCGGGAGAGGCAAGCGGUACUUAGUGGGUAGGGGUAAAAUCCGUUGAUCCAUUGAAGACCACCAGUGGCGAAGGCGGCUUGCCAGAACGCACUCGACGGUGAGGGAUGAAAGCUGGGGGAGCAAAUGGG